UACGGGGGGUGCGAGCGUUGUCCGGAAUCACUGGGCGUAAAGGGCGCGUAGGUGGUUUGAUAAGGGUGUGGUGAAAGUCCGGAGCUCAACUCCGGAUCUGCCGUGCCGACUGUCAACUCGAGGCUGUAGAGGCAGACGGAAUUCCGGGUGUAGCGGUGGAAUGCGUAGAGAUCCGGAGGAGACCGGUGGCGAAGGCGGCUGCUGGCAGUUCUGACACUGAGCGCGACGAGCGUGGGAGCAACAGGGAUAAGA
rnacentral:rRNA from 1 species